rnacentral:rRNA from 1 species
AGUGAACGCUGGCGGUAGGCCUAACACAUGCAAGUCGAACGGCAGCACAGUAAGAGCUUGCUCUUACGGGUGGCGAGUGGCGGACGGGUGAGGAAUACAUCGGAAUCUACUUUUUCGUGGGGGAUAACGUAGGGAAACUUACGCUAAUACCGCAUACGACCUACGGGUGAAAGCAGGGGAUCUUCGGACCUUGCGCGAUUGAAUGAGCCGAUGUCGGAUUAGCUAGUUGGCGGGGUAAAGGCCCACCAAGGCGACGAUCCGUAGCUGGUCUGAGAGGAUGAUCAGCCACACUGGAACUGAGACACGGUCCAGACUCCUACGGGAGGCAGCAGUGGGGAAUAUUGGACAAUGGGCGAAAGCCUGAUCCAGCCAUACCGCGUGGGUGAAGAAGGCCUUCGGGUUGUAAAGCCUUUUGUUGGGAAAGAAAAGCAGCAGGUUAAUACCCCGCUGUUCUGACGGUACCCAAAGAAUAAGCACCGGCUAACUUCGUG